rnacentral:lncRNA from 1 species
GCACUAGUCUUUCGCUUCAUUUGUUGCGGCGGAGUUGGUUUUGGUGGUUAAGUCUCUCUUUUCAUGGAUGUUCUAAGUGUUGGUGCUUCUGGUGCUCUGGCUGCAAAUCGUGCUGUCUACGGAAUUGAUUGACAUUACUCAAGGUUCCGAGUGUAUUGAAGGAAUUUGCCGCGAUUGUGUUGUGAUGUUUUUUCGUAGUCGGUACUACAUUCGUGUGUUCGUUUCAAGCGUUGGCCUUCACGAUUACUCAAACUUGACUUUUGGUAUUCUCCGACUGUGCGGAAGCGGGUAGGGGUCGGGGACUUCGUGAUACCUAUCGAGAAAACGAGGAGUGCAUAUUGACACUCGGUUAAUCAGUGCAUCUUUGAUUCCAACAGUCUGUUAAUAAUACUACUGAUUCGUUGCGGUGUUGAGGCCGACUCUCCCUGGGCAAUGUCGUCUAGUUUUGGAGUCAUCGGAAUCUAUAUUGAUCGGGCUUGCUGAGACUUACGGUGAUCGGCUCGUGAAUGAAGGAGGCAGCGUGAUUUUUUCCGUAGUUUGGGUUUUGCAAUUGCUGUGGUGAAUGCAGAGCAGGUGGGCCAUUGGUGGGUAUAGCAAACGGAUCUUGCGACUUAGAUCCCGUGCUUGUUUGACAAGUCUUGGAUGCAAAAUUUCAUCGCUUGCUGCAAGUUGAGAGAUCACCGUAGUGUUGUUGCGAGAACAAAGUCAAUUUUGUAGGAGUGAUUCGGUACUCCAACGUUGUUUUGUUACUUCCUUUUAUGCUUUUGCGAUCAGAAGCCUACACUGUAUCAAUCUGUCCAGGUUGAGCAUAUUGUGCAUGCCCAGAAACUGUAUUCAGUUAACGACUUGCACAAUAGAUCAUAGGAAGUAGACUAGGUUCUGUGAACCAUAUGAGCUCAUGAAUAAGUGCCAAGAGUACCAGAGCGUCGAUUUGCCUGGAAGCACGAAGCCGAGGCUGCUCAAGGAAGGGUUGGAACUUCAGCACAACAUCAGAGAGCUCAUCAUUACGACCUGGGCGAGGCAAACUCAAACUCUGGAAGGGUCUGUUGGCAAAAGAGUGUCCAGAACGGGAAACUCCCCUUCAUUGUCUGGUUCAACAAGAGAGCACAAGGUAGUUUUGAGGUUAUUGGAAGGAUUUAGGUGACAAAUAAACACUCAAUUAGGGUUUGAUCAAAUUAGGAUUUGGGAUAAAAUAU